GAUUAAAGUGCUGGCAUCUUCCCCAGGAAUUCCUGCACUGGGACAAACUGCCUUCAGGCACCUUUUCAGUCUGGGGCUAAGCGAGGAUGGAAGUGGAAGUUAUAGGCUAAACAUGCUGUUUCUUCAUUGUAAUGUAGAGAAAUGUUAUCUUCAUCUUGUGCAGGAGGGCAAAGGAAGCUAGGCAGCUUUGCUUAUCUUUCAGUAGCCGAAGACAUUACUUGUGGCUCCUGAGGACCUCUUAGUGCAUUAACUAAAAGACUCUGGGCUCUCCCGGCAUCACUUCAGUGCAAGGACCCGACUGACACUACUUAUGCCAGGUCCUGCCUCCCUCACAGGAGAAGCAGUCUGCAACUUUUGCUGCUCUAGACAACGUUUCAUCUCUGAGAAAACAGAGCUCUACAGAGUGGAUUUGGGGGAUCCGAGGGGAUCAGAGAGGAUCUGCCUCUGCGCUUUGCAGCUGCUCUGCUGACAGGACCUCCUCGAGAGACCCCGGCAGCAAUCUGCUAAACUUGAGCCUUUCUGACCUUCCCUGUCUCCUCAGGGAGUUUUGGAUUGGGCCUUAACCCUUUGACACUGACAGUUCCAGUGGGCACAUUGGUCAGACUGCAGCUCUCCUAUUCUUUGAAGAACUUUUAAUCUGCAGACGAACAUAUCUUGUGGAUGGCAUUGUGUCUAGGACUCUGCUUCAGGCCUGAUGUGUGCAACAAAACCAUGUGCACGGUGAAACUGUUGGCUCUGGGCUCUGUGAAAUGACCUGCUGAGCGUAAAUUCCAAACAGGGAGAAGUGACCAGGCAUCAAAGCUACGCCCAGCCUGUCUGAAGCAACCAUCUCCCUGAAAUAAGACUCCUUCACCCAGUGGACAAGAGAAGGCUUUGGCAUCCUAUUCCCCUUUCAUCAGCUUUGGCGUCACAAUGCGUAUCUCAUCUCCUUGGGCAGAUAGGAAGGCCGGAUAACAUGCUGAUAAUAAUCCUGAUCUUCACAUCUCCCUGCAUGCUUUGGUGGUGCAUGGCGAGCAACUCGCAGCGUAGACGAUGGUGACAACUUCAGCCAGUGGUGCAUGGGACUCUUCUGAGGUUCUCUGGCUCUUGCGAAGUGCUAGGUGCUCUUCUGGCCAGUGAGACUGGACUACUUUAAAGAGCUUGCAGUUAAAGUUACGAUGUUGCUGCUGGACAUCUCUGAUCUCAUUUGGGAGAGAAGAGAGGAAAAAAGGGUGAAAAGGUUACAGUCAAGAAGUGAUUUGUUAAUUAAUUGGUGCCGUCUCCUGGGACACAGGGAAUGGAGCCCUUGUUCUGUUAUCACAAUGCCUGAUGAUUGUGUUCCCAGUGAGUUCUCUUUCUGUCUACAGUGUCAUAUGCGUGACCUAAGAGCAGGGCUGUGCAGUCAAGUGAACCCACGAAGAGUUUAAACAGUUUUGUUUCUUAAACUAUUAAGCAUCUGGAAACACUUCGUUGUUCCACUGUCUUGCCUGAAUGGUGUUGUGUGAAACCUGGGAACUCAUUGAGAUAAAUAUGGAUUGCAGACAAACUCUUGCCUCCUGUGAAUGAGAAGAGAGGAGGAGCUCGAACAACCUGCCCUAACUUCCCUCCUUCCGUGAUGCCAGCUGUGAGUGUUUCUUUGGCAGUGUCUUAGCUGGUUGUUGUGAACAAUAGUCAAGGAAGCAAUCAGCAAGUAUACUGCCCUAGAAGUGCUACACAUUGUUGGGCCUGCCUCAUAUCUCCAUGGCUUGAGGUGGAUGGGGAUCCAGGCUGGGAUGCUGCCCAGGUGUACUGUGUUGCACUGGAGCUUGGGGUGUCUGAUGGAGCAGAGGGCUAAUGUGAGAAAUGCCACAGGAUGCCUGAUGAUGUGGUCACUGCAUCAGAGACGAAAGGUGAACAAAAGAGGAUAUAAACAUGUUGCAAGUUACUUUGCUCUUUCUUUGUCCUUCCCACACACAUCUUCCUGAGAGUAGAAUACCAGCUAUUGUUAGUAACACUGCAAAAAUGCAAUACUAGAUAUUGGGAGAAGGGCCUGCUUUUAGGAAGAAUUCAUGCAAGCCUCAACCUCAGUUUGGUAAUGACAAGCUAACUUGGCUUUGAGCCUAGCAUGGGAGCAACUCGCCUGUAGUCACUACUUCUCCUGGGUGCUGGUCAGCAGCUAUUCAUUGCAAAUAUAUGCAGUCAAGUGCCCCAAAACUUAGCUGAUCUUUCUGGGUAAGAUUUAAUUAGAUUUUCAUUAUGCAAUAAGACAUUUCUUCUUACUUUGUCUGGAUAAGAGGGAGGCAAGGAGGAUUUAUGGAAAGGACAAAUCCAUGAUAUGGGAUUGUUCUAAGGGAGGAGAUGCAAGAACACCCCAACUGUGGAAGAUGGAAAGGCCUUGCCCAGAUCAUAUUUAAACUUCCAGCAUUCACAUAGAGGAUAAGAACUUACAUAAAUUUUGAUCUAACCAAGUUGGUUUUGUGUUUUACUCUCUGUGGCCCUCACUGACUUGGCAUGAGCUGGGUGUCUGAUCCAGGGACACUGGAGCUCCAACCCUCUUGAAAAAACUAGCUAUGACUUUUGUUGCCCACACUUCUGUAUGCUUCCUUUUUUUUUUUUUUUCCCCAGACAUGAACAUAAUUGCACUAAUUACAGGGAGUUGUGAAAUUUCAUGAACUGUCUCUAAAAGUUCUGCACUCAGAAGAUAAUGGAUGGCCAGAAGGGAGCAUGGUAUCCUUCUGUUGCAAAUCUUCUGAAACUUCAUCUCUGCUUUUGCAGGAUAUUUGUUGUGAGACAGAUGUUUUGAGCUAGUACAUCAGAUUUCCUGAUAAAAUACUACUUUUCUAUGGCUUUUUACUUUCAGGUUUUUUCCUCUUCAUAGAGCCAAAUAUGACCAUCAGUUCCACGCUUUCUGGGGAGAAACAGGGUGUGUUGUUAUAGGUAAUGAGAAUGGCUAAAAAAUAUCACCGGAAGAUCACCAUGAAGAUCACCACAGAGAGUGCCUCUUUGUAUUCUGUGUAAACGCCCUUUGUAGUGCCCUUUCCUGAAGUGCCACUGCUGCAUAACUUGAGUCUGAGCUGGGUGUUGGCUGAAUGGAACUGAUGCAAUGACUGGAAUGUGGUUGGGGUGACAAACAUGUGGGGCUUGACCUGUGUCACUUAGCAUGUAACUGCUGAGCAACUUCAUCUGUGUUAAUAAAGUCAGUGAGUUUGAAUUCCAGGUUAUAAGAUAAUGUUCUGCUCUUCAAGUUUGCUGUAUGUAACUUUGCAAUAGUGCUUAAACCAGGAUGGCUAGUAGCAACUAACUAUCCAGUUAGCUUCUGUAAAUAUGUGGGCACUGCAUUUCAAAUAGUUCUAUGUGCUCCUUGCUACCCGGGAAAGAAGCAUAAUGCAAACAGCAUUGUUGAAUACCAAGUGGUGUUCUGAAGUUCUGCGCUGGGGAUGUGACUGUGGCUGACCCCUUAGUUGGAUGAAUGGUAGUGGCUCUGCUGGGACCUGAGCAGUCAGCACCCGCACAUGGAACGAGAAUCUGUAAAUUGUUUAACACAAAUAUUUUAUGUCUGCCUUCAAAGAAGGAGGGUGAAGAGUAUGAUAUGGUGUUAUACAACCCAUUUUCAAGGUCAUAUUUGGAUUCUGGACUGUAGCUGUUGAGCGUCUUGUGUCAAUGAAAGAAAGAGUCUAGUGCGCUCUGUUGCGCCCUUUCCCUUUAGCAGAAUUGUCUCUGCUGCUUCGCACUUCAUCUGUUUCAAAUAACUUCUGUGAAAUAACUUAAGUGAGGCUUCUAGCUCAGUAACCAGAGAAGCAGACAUGCUUCAUGACUCUUCCUACUUGAGGGUCUCAUUAUUAGCUUUUAUAUUCCUGUCUUAUCUGUGUUAAAACUACAGGCUGAAGGCAGACCUUUCUGUUGCAAAGUACAGCGUAUACCUCCAGUUCAAUUUACAGUAAAAGCUACAUGCCCAAAAUCCUACUAUUUGGCCUAUUUUACUACUAUUAAAUAUAAGAGAUGCAGUCCACACAUUUUUAUUAUAGGUAAUGAGAAUGGCUAAAUUAAAAAAUUGAAAGAUUGUCACAAAGAUCACUACAAAGAGUGCCUCUCUGUAUGCUGUGCAAGUGCCCUUUCUAGUGCCCUUUCCCAAAGCGCUACGGCUACAUACUUGAGUCUGAGCUGGGUGACCUUAACAGCAGGUCUUAAAUGUAUUAUUUUUUUGUUCAUGGCAUACUGUGUUUCAUUGUGAAUGUACAAUAUUAAUACCUUUAUUUUUCUCCACGCAGCCACAGCAUGAAGGACUAUCCCAUAUUAAUCUCCUAAUUUAAAUUUGAAAUGAAAAACUAUCGCAACACUUGGAGCAUACUUUAAUGCGUUGAUUGUGCUGGCUUGAUUCCAGCAGUGUAACUAAUUGCAUUCUGCCUGCAAAAAAUUCUCAUUGCUCAUGGCUUUUUUGAGUGUUGCUGGCUUGAAUUCUUGUGUGAUCUCUGCAGCCUGACUACACAUUUUUGGUGCUGAUGGAAAACUGCUUAAAAUGACUAAGCAUCUCUCCUUGAUGAAAGAAAAGCCAUGGGGCUUGCUGAACAGAUCCAGUAUAGUGCUCUGCUGAAAAAGCAACAAAGGACAAACACGAGGAUUUUCACCUCUCUCAGAAGCCUUCUCUUAACCAUGCUUCCCUGGCUUCCUUUCAGCUGAUGCAGUGAACCUAAGGAUCAGGUGAUGACUUAGAAAAAUGGUCUCGUUCUCCUGGAAAUGAAGAGCUCAGGUGCUGGUAAAACUGUUGGCUAGCCUUUUUUAUUGUGUUAUGAUUCCAGAGUUAGCUUUAUGUUUCCAGAGAAUCAGGUUUGUUAACUCUUGGCUAGAUGUUUUCAUAUAUACAUAGUGUCUUGCAUGGGCAUAGCCAGGCUGUGCAGAAGAUCUGUGUCAGUGAAAGGUUAUGCAUGAUGCACUUCAUUUUGCAUUCUUUUGAGAAGGGUGGGAGUUGGGUGUCAUUGCUCCCAGGCUGCACCCUGAGAAGCUAAUGAGUACAAGAAACAGUUGUACUGACUUCCUUGAGAGGAACUGCAUGGUGAUUUGAAAACUAAAACAUUAAAGGGCUUUUGCCCAAACUGAGCUUCUGAUGGGUGAUUUUUUAAUUUUUUUUUUCUUUUGGUUAUUUCAGUACAACACAUCUACUUUUUUUUUUUUUUUUUCCUAUGGGUGCAGUGAAACUGGGCUCUACUUUUUUCCAGGCUCCUAUUUGAAACUACUGUCGAAGCUGUGGGCAUGAUGCAAGGAUGGCAAAAGGUGACCAAGGUACAUCUGCUGGUGUUAGAGCCAUCUGCCUUCAUCAGAGAUAGAGAUAUGGCAGAGAAGCAAUUGUUAGAAUUGUCAGGACAAUGGUGAUGGAGAAAAUACUACUGCCUGGAACAGCAGUGACCUCUUGUGGGUAGUGAGGAUGGCUGAUGAUGCUGGCGGUUGGUACUUGGGAGUCAGAGGAUAUUAAUGUGUUGUAAUUAUGUCUGUGGCCCUAAAGUGAAUGUGGUAAAGGGAGCUCGGAUUCUCUUGGCUAGGUAUUAGAAACAAUCAGCUAUAAAUGAUGCUAAGUCUUUUCUUCUUCACAUGUAUGUGCUCUGAAGCUGACAUGAGAAAUA